GAGCCAUUCUUCCCAAACAGGAGCUCCGCACUCUGAUUCCAUAAAAAAGAUAACUGGUUUCUCUAGAGACCUCAUCUGUGAAUGAAUCAAGCCACAUUCAAGAGGGUGUUUGGACUCUGCAGAGGGAAAUGCACCCUCUGCGCCUCCAGCACCCAGUGCUGGGAGAUAGACCCUCAGUGAUUUAGAGAGUCAAUGAAAUGGAGUGACUUUUGCAGUCCCCCAGGCUGGCUCCCAUGGAGUGUGGUGGUCUUCAGUCCCCCUCUUGUCUCACCUCGGAGUCUCCCUCACCAGCAGUAUGCAUGCAAGGACCAGAGGCAGAGCAGUUACUGCCAGGAAAGGUGGGCCAUGUAACAAGUUCUGCCUAUGAAAUAGAAAUGAAAGUGUGAUGGUUGUUUCUGGGCUGAGUUACAGAAGACUAUGUGACACCUAUAUCCUUUCUCUUCCAUUCUGCCAUUUUCUCAUUAAAGU